rnacentral:sRNA from 1 species
CGGCCCUUCUUAAGCCGAGGGCCGUUUUAAUCAACUGACGUUGUUAGUGAACGACAAUUUGUUCACCCAAUACAAGCCAGUCGCCGUGUUGCGACUGGCUAUUUUUUU